UGCAGUCGAACGGAAAGGCCCUGCUUUUGUGGGGUGCUCGAGUGGCGAACGGGUGAGUAACACGUGAGUAACCUGCCCUUGACUUUGGGAUAACUUCAGGAAACUGGGGCUAAUACCGGAUAGGAGCUCCUGCUGCAUGGUGGGGGUUGGAAAGUUUCGGCGGUUGGGGAUGGACUCGCGGCUUAUCAGCUUGUUGGUGGGGUAGUGGCUUACCAAGGCUUUGACGGGUAGCCGGCCUGAGAGGGUGACCGGCCACAUUGGGACUGAGAUACGGCCCAGACUCCUACGGGAGGCAGCAGUGGGGAAUAUUGCACAAUGGGCGGAAGCCUGAUGCAGCAACGCCGCGUGCGGGAUGACGGCCUUCGGGUUGUAAACCGCUUUCGCCUGUGACGAAGCGUGAGUGACGGUAAUGGGUAAAGAAGCACCGGCUAACUACGUGCCAGCAGCCGCGGUGAUACGUAGGGUGCGAGCGUUGUCCGGAUUUAUUGGGCGUAAAGGGCUCGUAGGUGGUUGAUCGCGUCGGAAGUGUAAUCUUGGGGCUUAACCCUGAGCGUGCUUUCGAUACGGGUUGACUUGAGGAAGGUAGGGGAGAAUGGAAUUCCUGGUGGAGCGGUGGAAUGCGCAGAUAUCAGGAGGAACACCAGUGGCGAAGGCGGUUCUCUGGGCCUUUCCUGACGCUGAGGAGCGAAAGCGUGGGGAGCGAACAGGCUUAGAUACCCUGGUAGUCCACGCUGUAAACGGUGGGUACUAGGUGUGGGGUCCAUUCCACGGGUUCCGUGCCGUAGCUAACGCUUUAAGUACCCCGCCUGGGGAGUACGGCCGCAAGGCUAAAACUCAAAGGAAUUGACGGGGCCCCGCACAAGCGGCGGAGCAUGCGGAUUAAUUCGAUGCAACGCGUAGAACCUUACCUGGGUUUGACAUGGAUCGGGAGUGCUCAGAGAUGGGUGUGCCUCUUUUGGGGUCGGUUCACAGGUGGUGCAUGGCUGUCGUCAGCUCGUGUCGUGAGAUGUUGGGUUAAGUCCCGCAACGAGCGCAACCCUUGUUCACUGUUGCCAGCACGUUAUGGUGGGGACUCAGUGGAGACCGCCGGGGUCAACUCGGAGGAAGGUGGGGAUGACGUCAAGUCAUCAUGCCCCUUAUGUCCAGGGCUUCACGCAUGCUACAAUGGCUGGUACAGAGAGUGGCGAGCCUGUGAGGGUGAGCGAAUCUCGGAAAGCCGGUCUCAGUUCGGAUUGGGGUCUGCAACUCGACCUCAUGAAGUCGGAGUCGCUAGUAAUCGCAGAUCAGCAACGCUGCGGUGAAUACGUUCCCGGGGCUUGUACACACCGCCCGUCAAGUCAUGAAAGUUGGUAACACCCGAAGCCGGUGGCCUAACCG
rnacentral:rRNA from 1 species